UGAAAGAAAAGCAAGUCAACCCCCGGCCGAAAACCACCCCACCUCCUCCCACCAUUGCCCAAACUCCCCACCUUCUCCGGCACGUUCCAUCCCACCCGAGCUGCCGCACCGCCAUACCUCUCCCCAUCCACCUUCCUCCGCCACCCCACCACUGCAACCCGCAAGCCGGACCAGCCCAGCCUCCUUCCGCCAGUGCGGCUCGCCCCGCCGAGCUCCACCUCGCUGGCGCCUAGAUCCGGCGAGGCCCAAGGCAUCCCCAGCCACAUGGAGUCCCGGGGACGGGUCCGAUCCGGCAACCGCCACCGACAUGCCUCCCGGCAAUGGAUCUGGGUCAGCAACCACCCCCCUGCGCGGCCACGACCCGCACAUCUUCCCUUGCAUCUCCCACAUCCCGAACACACCCGCACCUCCCACCCCCGCACCAUCCAUGGUAAUCCCCUCCACCUUCUUCCGCCACUGCCUCGGCCGGUAGCCAAAUCUCCGGGGAUUCCCUCUACUUUCUUCUGACCCGGCAGGCCACUGCCUUGCCCAUGCCCAGUACGCCACGCUCCACUGCCAAUGGAACCCACCUUCGGAUCCGGUGAUCCCCGGCGACGCGAAUCGCACACCACCGCUAUUGUAUGCAGAUCCGCCGGAUCUCGGGCUCCACUCCCUUCCCCCAACCUCCUCCCUCGAUGGUGGUCAACCUCGGCCACCAACACGUCCAAGGCUGUGGGGGAAUAGCGGCAACCGGCAGCGAUAAGGGGCCGUGCUGCGCGGCGCAGGUGGUCGGUGGCGGAGAGGGCCAGAUCCAUCGUGCCCCGAAAGGAGCUCACCGCCGGCAUCUGGCAGCGUGAUUCAUCCUUCGUCUUCGCCAACCGGAUGCGUGUCGCCUUCGUCGGAUCCGACCGCAGAUGCCGGCCCCUCUACACCUUGGUGCCCGGCGCGGGCACGGACUGUAGCCCCAUCCCGUGCCACCUCCCUCAUCCCCGGAUCCACCAGCACCUCCCCCGCCCAUGGCACGCCACGGUCAACAACGUCACCCCGCGGGUCAGAGUGAUGUGGCCACCGAUGAGCUCCGAGCGUCUUUCCCUCACAGCCCCCUUAAUGCUCUCUCUCCCCCUUGAUUUGUCUACACCAGAGCAGCUGCAGCGUUAGUGCACCAUCAGAUCUAGCGCUGACGGCCAUGAGCAGUGAGAGGAGUAGAGGAGGAAGAAAAGGACUGCAACCGCGUGCAGUACAUCACCCCGUGCGGGAUCCGUGCCAUGGUGAUUUUUUGAGUCAUAUUGCAUUUUACUUGCUUGAGCUAGCGGUUCGUCAGUCACAUUCCAUGCAGUGCAUUGCCAUGUUUUUGCAAUGCGUUGGCAUGUCCUUUCCAGUGAAGCACCAUCUAUUUUUCCAUGCAGUGCAUUGGCAUGUUUUUGCAGUGCGUUGGCAUGUUCUUUCCUGGGAAGCACCAUCUAUUUUUGUGACGAUUUUGUGUCUUCUUUGUAUGUUCAGUGCACUACAGUUUAGGGCACCUCGUGCGGUUCAAAAACGUGGGCUUGCAAUGCAUUAGCUCAUCCUGUGACGAAGAAAACAAGUGUCUCGUAUGCUGAAUUUGGUGUCUCGUGUGUAUUGUUUGUGUAAAAAGAAUGAUGUUUCAUUACCUCUC